rnacentral:tRNA from 1 species
GCAGCCGUGGCCUACUGGUUAGUGCUUCGGACUUGUAACCGGAGGGUUGCCUGGUUCGAACCCUGACCAGUAGGA